rnacentral:rRNA from 1 species
AUUGAACGCUGGCGGCAGGCCUAACACAUACAAGUCGAGCGGAUGAAGGGAGCUUGCUCCUGGAUUCAGCGGCGGACGGGUGAGUAAUGCCUAGGAAUCUGCCUGGUAGUGGGGGAUAACGUCCGGAAACGGGCGCUAAUACCGCAUACGUCCUGAGGGAGAAAGUGGGGGAUCUUCGGACCUCACGCUAUCAGAUGAGCCUAGGUCGGAUUAGCUAGUUGGUGGGGUAAAGGCCUACCAAGGCGACGAUCCGUAACUGGUCUGAGAGGAUGAUCAGUCACACUGGAACUGAGACACGGUCCAGACUCCUACGGGAGGCAGCAGUGGGGAAUAUUGGACAAUGGGCGAAACCCUGAUCCAGCCAUGCCGCGUGUGUGAAGAAGGUCUUCGGAUUGUAAAGCACUUUAAGUUGGGAGGAAGGGCAGUAAGUUAAUACCUUGCUGUUUUGACGUUACCAACAGAAUAAGCACCGGCUAACUUCGUG